rnacentral:rRNA from 1 species
AUUGAACGCUGGCGGCAUGCUUUACACAUGCAAGUCGGACGGCAGCACAGAGAAGCUUGCUUCUUGGGUGGCGAGUGGCGAACGGGUGAGUAAUAUAUCGGAACGUACCGAGCAGUGGGGGAUAACUAAUCGAAAGAUUAGCUAAUACCGCAUAUUUUCUGAGGAAGAAAGCAGGGGACCAUUUGGCCUUGCGCUGUUUGAGCGGCCGAUAUCUGAUUAGCUAGUUGGUGGGGUAAAGGCCUACCAAGGCGACGAUCAGUAGCGGGUCUGAGAGGAUGAUCCGCCACACUGGGACUGAGACACGGCCCAGACUCCUACGGGAGGCAGCAGUGGGGAAUUUUGGACAAUGGGCGCAAGCCUGAUCCAGCCAUGCCGCGUGUCUGAAGAAGGCCUUCGGGUUGUAAAGGACUUUUGUCAGGGAAGAAAAGGAUAGGGUUAAUACCCCGGUCUGAUGACGUACCUGAAGAAUAAGCACCG